UAACCUUUGGAAUGUAGUCCUAAUGGUUCCUGGCAUUUGGGGAAGGAAUCAAUUUUAAGUUUUCAUGGGUAUUUUUGUGAUUUUCUAAACGUGGUUUUGGUUGUCCUGUCAUGAGUUUAAUUUUUGAGUAAACCCUCAGCAUCGUGAGGGUUUUACCGUCCAGUUACAUGGCGAGUUAUAUGUCGUGAUUGGUGGUUUGAGGUACGAGAGCCUGUAUCUAUGAUCCAUGUUUGAUUUCCACAUGGCUGGUGGUAUUGUCAGGGGCUGUUCGAGGCUGUGGUAGAUUGGGGAUGAGCUCCCACACCUAGCGUCCACACACC